rnacentral:rRNA from 1 species
GAUGAACGCUGGCGGCGUGCCUAAUACAUGCAAGUCGAGCGAACGGACGAGAAGCUUGCUUCUCUGAUGUUAGCGGCGGACGGGUGAGUAACACGUGGAUAACCUACCUAUAAGACUGGGAUAACUUCGGGAAACCGGAGCUAAUACCGGAUAAUAUUUUGAACCGCAUGGUUCAAAAGUGAAAGACGGUCUUGCUGUCACCUAUAGAUGGAUCCGCGCUGCAUUAGCUAGUUGGUAAGGUAACGGCUUACCAAGGCAACGAUGCAUAGCCGACCUGAGAGGGUGAUCGGCCACACUGGAACUGAGACACGGUCCAGACUCCUACGGGAGGCAGCAGUAGGGAAUCUUCCGCAAUGGGCGAAAGCCUGACGGAGCAACGCCGCGUGAGUGAUGAAGGUCUUCGGAUCGUAAAACUCUGUUAUUAGGGAAGAACAUAUGUGUAAGUAACUGUGCACAUCUUGACGGUACCUAAUCAGAAAGCCACGGCUAACUACGU